rnacentral:rRNA from 1 species
GAUGAACGCUGACAGAAUGCUUAACACAUGCAAGUCAACUUGGUGGCGGACGGGUGAGUAACGCGUAAAGAACUUGCCUCACAGCUAGGGACAACAUUAAGAAAUGAAUGCUAAUACAUGAUACUGUGAGAGAGCUUUGCGUCACAUUAGCUAGUUGGAGAGGUAACAGCUCACCAAGGCGAGGAUGGGUAGCCGGCCUGAGAGGGUGAACGGCAACAAGGGGACAGGGACACGGCCCUUACUCCUACGGGAGGCAGGAGUGGGGAAUAUUUGACGACGGACCGAAGUAUGAUCCAGCAAUUCUGUGUGCACGAUGAAGUUUUUCGGAAUGUAAAGUGCGUUCAGUUGGGAAGCGGUACCAGCAGAAGAAGUGACGGCUAAAUACGUGCCAGCCGCCGCGGUAAUUC